GGGUGAAUGGUGUAGCGGUACAGUAUCACACCCCAUUUGCAAUGAUCUGAUUAUGAUUUGAGAAGGUCCUGGGUUAAACCCCCGGUGGGUCCA